UACGGAGGGUGCAAGCGUUGUCCGGAUUCACUGGGUUUAAAGGGUGCGUAGGUGGGUUGGUAAGUCAGUGGUGAAAUCCCCGAGCUUAACUUGGGAACUGCCAUUGAUACUAUCAGUCUUGAAUACCGUGGAGGUCAACGGAAUAUGUCAUGUAGCGGUGAAAUGCUUAGAUAUGACAUAGAACACCAAUUGCGAAGGCAGCUGGCUACUCGGAUAUUGACACUGAGGCACGAAAGCGUGGGGAUCAAACAGG
rnacentral:rRNA from 1 species